GCGUGGGUGGCUCAGUCUGUUGAGCUUCUGACUUCAGCUCAGGUCAUGAUCUCAUGGUUCAUGGGUUCGAGUCCCACAUCGGGCU
rnacentral:tRNA from 1 species